ensembl:lncRNA
GGGGAAGAGUGGGUAGGUGAGGCUGUGUUUUUAUGCCCCUCCCCCAACCUUUAACUGAAGAGGUUGUGCUGUCUCAAAACAAAACUAUACACGCCACACUAAGAAGAGCCAACAUCACUGCUGCCUUGCUACUGUAUCAGUCCAGUGUCAAGACUCCACCGGAAGAAAGCCAAGACAGGCAAACCUGAAGAGGAUGGAGAUUGGUAGGAGCACUGAUCGGGACAUCGCUGACGAUUGCGUGGUCUGUCUAUCUGCUAGAGCUUCUGUGGUCCUUCCCUGCGCCCACCGCUGCCUGUGCCUUCGCUGCGCCCAGCGGGUCAAGGCCGACUUUGGAAACUGCCCGCUGUGUCGCCAGUCAAUCAGAUACAGCGACGAGGACAGGGGGAUAAAAAGUUGACCAACCGAUGGGGAAAGGAGGGAGAAAAGCAAAGAUGAUCUAAUCAGCAUUAUAUUAGUUCAUAAUAUUGUAAACAUUUCCCUUAUGUUCUUUUUUAUAUCAACUGUCUAUUUUUCAAAGUGACUUAUGUUAUAAUGUAGGCAUGUAUACUACAUGUAGGCAUGAAUACUUGAUGAAGAACGUCUCACUGUAGAUGUUUUAUUUGUCAAUGAAUCCAAAUGUAAAUAAAUGCACCCAAAAUGAAGACCGUUUCUCUUUUAUUUGAUAACUUUAAAUAAAUAGGCCUAGGGAAAUUACAGUCAGACAACUAUGUAGCCAACUGAAGAAAAAAAUAGUUCAUUCUCAAAAUGAAAGCAUAUCAAUAUUUCUGGUACUACAAACUCAGUUUCUAUACCAGGCUACAGCAGAGAUCUUGUGCAACUUCGGUUGCAAUAUGCAGUAGGUCAUGUCAGGAUGAGCCUGCAGGAAGGGUACCACAUGAGGGAGGAGGAUGUCUUCCCUGUAACACACAGUGUUGAGAUUGCCAGUGUUCUGCCAUGGCCAGUGAA